CGGUAAUUCCAGCUCCAAUAGCGUAUAUUAAAGUUGUUGCAGUUAAAAAGCUCGUAGUUGAAUUUCGGGAUCAAAUUGUCGGUCGUGCCUCGGUACGUACUGGCGUUAUUGGUUCCUCCCUUCUGAAGAACCGCGAUGUCAUUAAUUUGGUGUCGCGGGGAAUCAGGACUGUUACUUUGAAAAAAUUAGAGUGUUUAAAGCAGGCUCGCGCUUGAAUACAUUAGCAUGGAAUAAUGAAAUAGGACGUUUGAUUCUAUUUUGUUGGUUUCUAGGAUCGACGUAAUGAUUAAUAGGGAUAGUUGGGGGCAUUAGUAUUCAAUUGUCAGAGGUGAAAUUCUUGGAUUUAUUGAAGACUAACUACUGCGAAAGCAUUUGCCAAGGAUGUUUUCAUUAAUCAAGAACGAAAGUUAGGGGAUCGAAGACGAUCAGAUACCGUCGUAGUCUUAACCAUAAACUAUGCCGACUAGGGAUCGGAUGAUGUUAAUUUUUUAA
rnacentral:rRNA from 1 species